ensembl:lncRNA
CAAGAACUGACACAGAGUCUGCACUUUGUUUUGUUUCGUCCCCCACCAUGACUAAUACCACGACUGAGAUAUCAUGGUGGCAGUUGAUGUGAUGACUCUCAGUAGAAGGCCUUCCAUAAAGCACAAGACCUCAGACUCUCUGAAGACGAUGCAACGAGAAUUGAAUCCACAUCCUGGCACUGUUCUUAAGGAGCCGAGUCCUUUGAUAAGAUCCCUUUUCCUCGACUGCAUCUGCAGCUUCUUUUUUUCUACAAAUAAACAUAUUAAACGGAAGAAAAAUGGAAACUUGGAAAAAUGGAGACUUAUAUCAGAAAA